GGGGUGACGCGCAUGAAUGGAUU
rnacentral:misc_RNA from 1 species